rnacentral:rRNA from 1 species
UACGAAGGGGGCUAGCGUUGUUCGGAAUUACUGGGCGUAAAGCGCACGUAGGCGGAUUUGUAAGUCAGGGGGUGAAAUCCCGGGGCUCAACCUCGGAACUGCCUUUGAUACUGCAAGUCUUGAGUCCGAUAGAGGUGAGUGGAAUUCCUAGUGUAGAGGUGAAAAUUCGUAGAUAUUAGGAAGAACACCAGUGGCGAAGGCGGCUCACUGGAUCGGUACUGACGCUGAGGUGCGAAAGCGUGGGAGCAACAGGGAUUAAGAA